UUUUUUGGGUUUUAUUAUUUUAUGAAAAAUUAUCCAACAAUAAUUUAUUUUCUCAUUUUCGUCUGAUUACCAAAUCGAACUAAAGAAAUUGGAAUUACUUUGAUUCAUUUUCUUCUGAACCAAACACCCUUGUGAUUUUUGUAAUUUGGAAUUACUUUGAUUUCAUUUUCCCUAGAAAACGAUAAAGAGUGGAUGGAAUGAAAUGUGUGAGAAUGUGUGAAUUUCAACAGGAAUUAGAGCUGGGUAUUUUAGGAAGGGAAAAGACAUCAAUAGCCUUGUAUUUGUCAUGUGAAACGCACGUGGGGUGAGAACCGGUCAUUUUGACCUGCAAACAGGUAAAAAAUGGCAAAGUGGCACAACUAUUUGAGUACAGAUGAACUUCUGCAAAAAAAAUUGUUCAGGUGGUGAUGUGCAAAAACUUAAAAAGUUCAGGUGGUUUAAUGCUAUUUACCCU
rnacentral:lncRNA from 1 species